rnacentral:rRNA from 1 species
UACGGGGGGAGCAAGCGUUGUUCGGAUUUACUGGGCGUAAAGGGCGCGUAGGCGGUCGUGACAAGUCACUUGUGAAAUCUCCGGGCUUAACUCGGAACGGUCAAGUGAUACUGUCGGACUAGAGUACAGAAGGGGCAACUGGAAUUCUCGGUGUAGCGGUGAAAUGCGUAGAUAUCGGGAGGAACACCGUUGGCGAAGGCGACUUUCUGGGCUGGCUACUGACGCUGAAGCGCGAAAGCCAGGGGAGCGAACAGG